UCAAGUCAAGCUCAAAUUUGCCAGACUCCUGUGGAGGCUGUUAUGGUUUGAAUGAUGCCCCCUACCUCAAGAAGAUAUGUUCAAGUCCUAACUCUCAGAAUCUCAGGAAUGUGACCUUAUUUGAAAAUAGGGUCAUUACAGAUUCUAAUUAGUUAAGAUGAAGUCAUAUUGUAGUAGGGUGGGCCCCUAAUCCAAUAAAAGUGGUGUUCUGAUAAGAGGAGGGAAAUUUGGACACAAACUUGUACAGAUGGAAGACCACGUGAAGACACGGAGAAUGUUACCUGAUGACACAGCAGAGAUUGGUGUUACGCAGCUGCAGGCUAUGGAGGCUACUAAAGGCUGGAAGAGACAAGGAAGGAUCCUCCCACAGGUUUCAGAGGGAGCACGGUUCUGCCAACCCCUCGACUUUGAACUUCCCGCUUCCAGAAAGGUGAACUCAUAACCAUCCUUUGGACCCCAGCUCAAGAGAUGCUGACUUCUUCAGUCUUCCUUUACAGAAGUUUCUGUGAACCUCAUCAUGGUUUCCACACCCGACUGACCAUGAGAAUCAUCUACGAGCUUGUUGGAGAUGCGGAUUUCUGCGUCCCAUCCCUGGAGAUCCAAUUAAAUAGACCUGUAGAUGUGCAUUAUUAAAAAGCUCCUUGGAUAAUUCUGUUGCACAGCUCAGUUGGGUAACACUGGUGGACAAUGAUGCAGAAAGUAUGUCAUCAGGCAACUGCCGACCCCUCAGAAGAGGAAGAAAACAGCAGCCUGCAGGCAAGAUUGGAAUGAAGGCCACUUGUCCAGGACACUGAUAACCCCAUCUCUUCAUCCCCAGCCAGAGUGAAACUAACUGACUCUUGGUCUGCCAUGGACUCCCCUUCACAGAGGUAUUGCAGAGGAAAUUAAAAUUAUAACUCUGAGAUCCUAGAAUUCUGAGAUAUGAAUAUGGAGUGUUAUAAUGUGAAAGAUGGAAUUGCUCAAAGAUAAAGCCAAAUCAUCCACAAUGUUUUGCUUUAAAGAAGCUUCCUAGCUGGAAGAAAAGUACUGGAAUAAGGAGAUAUAUCUUUUCUCUGUCACCUCUCACUUAGAUAUAGGAGGGACACUGAGCAUAACUGACCAGAGCCCCAGCUGCUGUGUUCUGAAAUCUGGCAAUGCAAAGAGGACAUGCCUCCCACAAGCUGCUCCCUGCUGAUGACUGAGGGGUGGGGCUGGUAAGACAGAUCCUGAAAGGCACAAUAGUCCUCUAGAAAUGUUGGUUCAAGGGACCCCCUGACAGUCUUUCCAAAUCUUCCUUUGACUGCAUGGAUGUCUAGGGUGCCUCCCUCAACCUUCCAAUUUCUGGUCAGACUCACACUGGGAUCUGCCAGCUCCAAAGCUAGUGCUUCCUAGCUUUCUCUCCAUUUUCUCCCCUACAGGCACUUCUCCCCUCCCUAGGUUUUUUUUUUAGACAGAACCUCCGCCAUCACCCAGACUGCAGUGCAGUGGUGUGGUCAUGGCUCACUGCAGCUGGGGCCUCUCAGGUUCAAGCAAUCCUCUCACUUCAGCCUCCCAAAUAGCUGGGACCACAGGCAUGCACCAUCAUGUCCGCCUAAUUUUUGUAUUUUUUGUAGAGACAGGGUUUCACCAUGUUGCCUAGGCUGGUCUCAAAAUCCUGGGCUCAAGCAAUCUGCCCGCCUCGGCCUCCCAAAGUGCUGGGAUUACAGGCAUGAGCCACUAUGCCCAGCCACUUCUCUCUCUUUUUUUUUUUUUUUUUAAAUAUGAACCAUUUUAUUGAAGAACAGUUAUACAGUGUAGCUACAGAUACUGACUAGAUACUAAAUAUUUCUGCCUGAUUUUUCAUUGUCUUCACAAGUUAGGGAAUAGAAAUCAAAAAACCAAAAAUCUCAAAUGAUUUAGCUGUCCAAAACAUAUUUGACAGUUGAUAAAUUUAGAACAGCUCUGACAUAUAAAUUUCUAAUUAGAGAAUCCUUUCAUUUGAAAAAAUUGAGAUGAUAUUACCCUAAUGAAGUUUUUGCCUGAAGUUAACAAAGUCCUGGAUUUGAU
rnacentral:lncRNA from 10 species